rnacentral:misc_RNA from 1 species
AAGUCGUAACAAGGUUUCCGUAGGUGAACCUGCGGAAGGAUCAUUAAUGAAUUUAUUGACAAGGCUGUCGCUGGUCUUUACAGGCAUGUGCACGCUUUGCUUCAAUUCAUCCAUUCUACACCUCUGUGCACUCUUCAUAGGCUGGCUUAUUGGGGUUAUCAUUGUAUGACCCUUGGUCUUUCUAUGCAUUUUAUUACAAACAUGUCUGGUUCAGAAUGUCUCUACUGCGAAUGUAACGCAUAUAAAUAUAACUUUCAGCAACGGAUCUCUUGGCUCUC